GACGAACGCUGGCGGCGUGCCUAAUACAUGCAAGUCGAACGAGAGCGACCGGUGCUUGCACUGGUCAAUCUAGUGGCGAACGGGUGAGUAACACGUGGGUAACCUGCCCAUCAGAGGGGGAUAACAUCCGGAAACGGAUGCUAAAACCGCAUAGGUCUUCGAGCCGCAUGGCUUGAAGAGGAAAGGAGGCGCAAGCUUCUGCUGAUGGAUGGACCCGCGGUGCAUUAGCUAGUUGGUGAGGUAACGGCUCACCAAGGCCGUGAUGCAUAGCCGACCUGAGAGGGUGAUCGGCCACAUUGGGACUGAGACACGGCCCAAACUCCUACGGGAGGCAGCAGUAGGGAAUCUUCCGCAAUGGACGCAAGUCUGACGGAGCAACGCCGCGUGAGUGAAGAAGGUUUUCGGAUCGUAAAACUCUGUUGUUAGAGAAGAACAAGUGCUAGAGUAACUGUUAGCGCCUUGACGGUAUCUAACCAGAAAGCCACGGCUAACUACGUG
rnacentral:rRNA from 1 species